GCGAUACAGGGUGACAGCCCCGUACACAAAAAUGCACAUACUGUGAGCUCGAUGAGUAGGGCGGGACACGUGGUAUCCUGUCUGAAUAUGGGGGGACCAUCCUCCAAGGCUAAAUACUCCUGACUGACCGAUAGUGAACCAGUACCGUGAGGGAAAGGCGAAAAGAACCCCGGCGAGGGGAGUGAAAAAGAACCUGAAACCGUGUACGUACAAGCAGUGGGAGCCUCUUAAUGGGGUGACUGCGUACCUUUUGUAUAAUGGGUCAGCGACUUAUAUUCUGUAGCAAGGUUAACCGAAUAGGGGAGCCGAAGGGAAACCGAGUCUUAACUGGGCGUUAAGUUGCAGGGUAUAGACCCGAAACCCGGUGAUCUAGCCAUGGGCAGGUUGAAGGUUGGGUAACACUAACUGGAGGACCGAACCGACUAAUGUUGAAAAAUUAGCGGAUGACUUGUGGCUGGGGGUGAAAGGCCAAUCAAACCGGGAGAUAGCUGGUUCUCCCCGAAAGCUAUUUAGGUAGCGCCUCGUGAAUUCAUCUCCGGGGGUAGAGCACUGUUUCGGCAAGGGGGUCAUCCCGACUUACCAACCCGAUGCAAACUGCGAAUACCGGAGAAUGUUAUCACGGGAGACACACGGCGGGUGCUAACGUCCGUCGUGAAGAGGGAAACAACCCAGACCGCCAGCUAAGGUCCCAAAGUCAUGGUUAAGUGGGAAACGAUGUGGGAAGGCCCAGACAGCCAGGAUGUUGGCUUAGAAGCAGCCAUCAUUUAAAGAAAGCGUAAUAGCUCACUGGUCGAGUCGGCCUGCGCGGAAGAUGUAACGGGGCUAAACCAUG
rnacentral:rRNA from 1 species